CCUCCGUCUUAUGUUCUCCUUCGCUCGAACACAGAUGGUUUUUGCAGCGAUGAAGAUGAUUUUUUCAGAGGUCAAGAUCUCUGUUUUUGCAGCGAUAAAGAUGAAGAUCCACAGGGAUCUUCUUUUUCAAGAAUUUCUAUUUCGCAUCGAUGGAGAAUGCUGUCGGUUUCUCAUUCCUAUCGCCUGCCCUCCCCAUCGCUGGUUCCCACACUUCAAAGACCAAACCCCCUCCCCACCGUUGUUUAUGUCCGUGGUAUUCAAGUUGCCGGAGUUGGUAGACGGUUUGGUAUCUGGUGAGUGAGGGUCGGAUUUGGGCAGUCUUGAUGAGUGAGUUCGACCUUCUUCCCCUAUUCCAGAUCCAGUCUUCAUCUUCACAAUCAACGAGAAGCUAGGGUUUCAACGAGAUCCAGAUCCAAUUGUUGUCUUCAAUCAACGAGAAGCUAGGGCUUCAUCGAGAUCCAAAAUCCAGUCUGUCCUUAAUCAACAAGAAGGUAGGCUUUCAAUCUUUUUAUCCAGUUUAAAUUCGAUUUACACUUGGGUUUCACUGAUUUAGGAUUUUGAUAUUUGGUUUCACAAUGUUAAUAUUCUUGAUAUUUUUGCAUACUGUGUUCUUGGUGUUCAUGUAAUGUUAAUAAUUUAAUGUUCUUGA